GCUUACUUUGGCCUCCAGUAAGGCCAUGAUCUAGGACCUGAGAGGCCUCAGACUGGGGUAGAGCAGCCCUGAACACUGCCCUGUUUGUACUCCAGGAAAGGCGCUUUCAUGGCUGUCCUGUUGUGGCUGCCAUGUGUUAGGAGCAGAUGAAAGAGCUGAUGGUUUUUUUUUCCUUUCCACACUUCACGCAGUUCAUUCCUCUUGGGUACGAGCCACAGUCAGCCUGCUCCUUCCAUGGAGGACUCUCCAAACAGAGGAGGACGUCAGGGAUCCCGCUGUACCCCCACCUUUCCUCCAGAGAAGUGCAGAGCAGCAGGCUUUCAUCUCUCCACCCCAACAUCCCUGGAGCCCCUGCUGUUGUCUGCAAUGCGUGCAUCAUAGCAGAGGGGUUUUGCACCAGAUGGCCAUGCUUCCCAGCACCACUGUUUGUUCCUACACCGUGAACCUGCUGAGAGUCCUCCACCUUGCUCUACACCCUGGAGAAUGCUGGGACCAGGAGGCACCACUGCAGUGAAAGCGCACCAGGAAACACCAUUUGCAGGGCCACAUGCUGUACCCAACCUGGGACACUUGGGCUGCAGGUACCUUCCACACCACUCUCUCCUGUGCGGUUCAUGUUUCCACAUUAUAGCACUGAAUGGGCUGAGCUGCUGUCUGACCCUACCCCCAAACCCCAGCUUCUCUACAGUGUCUGGACUCCCCCUUACAGUCCUAUGGGGCCUCUUUUUGCCCUCUUGCUGCCUUUAUGGCCAGGCUAGGGGCCCUCUCCUUUUGCUGCCAGGACCCUAGGUAGAUGGUUAUUAGCACCAUGUGGAGCAAUCAUGGUGUUGCCUAAAUCCCCAGCUCGGAGUGAAGAACCCAGGGCCAGACC